rnacentral:rRNA from 1 species
GACGAACGCUGGCGGCGUGCUUAACACAUGCAAGUCGAACGGAAAGGCCUCUUUCGGGGGGUACUCGAGUGGCGAACGGGUGAGUAACACGUGAGUAACCUGCCCUUGACUUUGGGGUAACUUCAGGAAACUGGGGCUAAUACCGGAUAGGAGCUCCUGCUGCAUGGUGGGGGUUGGAAAGUUUCGGCGGUUGGGGAUGGACUCGCGGCUUAUCAGCUUGUUGGUGGGGUAGUGGCUUACCAAGGCUUUGACGGGUAGCCGGCCUGAGAGGGUGACCGGCCACAUUGGGACUGAGAUACGGCCCAGACUCCUACGGGAGGCAGCAGUGGGGAAUAUUGCACAAUGGGUGGAAGCCUGAUGCAGCAACGCCGUGUGCGGGAUGACGGCCUUCGGGUUGUAAACCGCUUUCGCUCAUGACGAAGCUUUGUGUGACGGUAGUGGGUAAAGAAGCACCGGCUAACUACGUG